GACGAACGCUGGCGGCGUGCUUAACACAUGCAAGUCGAACGGAAAGGCCCUGCUUGCAGGGUACUCGCGUGGCGCACGGGUGAGUAACACGUGGGUGAUCUGCCCUGCACUUCGGGGUAAGCCUGGGAAACUGGGUCUAUUACCGGAUAGGAGACCUCCUUCGUGUUAUGGUUGGAAAGUUUUUUCGGUCUAGGAUGAGCUCGCGGCCUAUCAGCUUGUUGGUGGGGUAAUGGCCUACCAAGGCGGCGACGGGUAGCCGGCCUGAGAGGGUGGACGGCCACAUUGGGACUGAGAUACGGCCCAGACUCCUACGGGAGGCAGCAGUGGGGAAUAUUGCACAAUGGGCGGAAGCCUGAUGCAGCGACGCCGCGUGGGGGAUGACGGCCUUCGGGUUGUAAACUCCUUUCGCUAGUGACGAAGCUUUUGGUGACGGUAUCUAUAUAAGAAGCACCGGCUAACUACGU
rnacentral:rRNA from 1 species